rnacentral:rRNA from 1 species
UACGUAGGGUGCGAGCGUUGUCCGGAAUUAUUGGGCGUAAAGAGCUUGUAGGCGGUUUGUCGCGUCUGCUGUGAAAUCUCAAGGCUCAACCUUGAGCUUGCAGUGGGUACGGGCAGACUAGAGUGUGGUAGGGGAGACUGGAAUUCCUGGUGUAGCGGUGAAAUGCGUAGAUAUCUGGAGGAACACCGGUGGCGAAGGCGGCAUCCUGGACCAAUACUGACGCUGAGGAGCGAAAGCCAGGGGAGCAAACGGG